CUGGUAUCAAAAGUAGGGACAGUUUAUCCCUACAAAAUUAUAGGGACAGCUUGCGAUUGUGUGCUAUGUAGGUGAGCAGAAUCUUGAAUUCAGCCGUUUAGCUGACAAAAAAAGCAAAGCAAGUUUUCACUGGCUUUGGUUUCAGUAUCUGUUGGUCCAGUCACUGAAGACCAAAAGUAGUCACUCCUCUUUCUGUCUCGGGAUGCUACUUUACAACUCACUAGCUUAUAGAAUUUUCCUGGGACAAAGGGAAGUGGUGAGAAGUUGCUAAGCACUCUUCUUAUUAACCUCUAAAAGUCAGCAUAUUCAUGAAAGCUUUUACUUCCAAAUGUUACCAAAAGCUCAGUCCCUGUCGCUGGUGCCAAAUCAAAAUUAUAAGGACAUGAUUUUGGGGUUGGGGGGAAGAAAUUGAACCUCUAGUCUAUUAAUAGAUGAGAAGGUAAUAGACAUCAAGGUCUCAGGGAUUCCAGCUCUACUGGAGGAAUUCUGGGUGCUUACACAGCGUCUGAAGGAGUGGGUGCUGGCAUGGUGAAGUCACAAAAGAGCUGCAUGUCUCUGGUGUCAGUGCCAAGGCUUGUUGCUUCAUGGACGUCCUUGAGGUCCAAAGGUAGUGAUAUUAGGUCUGGUCUGAAAAGGUCCUCCUGCUCUGCAAAAGAAGCUGAAAUAAGGAACAAGGCAAUCUGUACCUUGGGACAUGGGCAAAUGGGAAGCCAGCAGUCCAUCCCUAAGGUGUCACUUUCCUGGCUUUAUAUUGGAAUGGUGAAGAACAGACUACUAUCAAGCACACUAGUUUGGAAUGUGUUUGAAAGUGCUAAACGCUGUGUCCAUCCUACCUACCUCUCAAGUCCCCAAGCAUGGAGAGUUCUCUAUCUGCUCUAGGAGGUGAACUUUAAAAAUUGUAACUUUUUACAGGGGUCCAGCACUGAACAGGACCUAUCGAAACCUAGUCUUGCUCCGUUCUGUCACUUUUCCAUUUUCUCUCUCUGCCAUCUCCCUUCUUUCCCAUCAUUCAUGCUUACAUUAUUUCCAUAACACUGUUGCUAAGAAACACUUAC
rnacentral:lncRNA from 1 species